rnacentral:misc_RNA from 1 species
UCUUCCUACAGAAUGUACAACGUUUGUUUCACGACUGUAUUCAUUAAUAUAUAACACGUGUAGUUCUUCUGCUUUUGUAGUCAACAAACUUUCCCAUUCAAGCAGAAUAUUGGUCCAAUUUACCCGAGGGAUGGCUAAAAUUAUCGAAUGUGUUCCUAAUUUCUCCGAGGGCCGUGACAAAGGUGUCAUCGAUGCCAUUUCACAGUCAAUCGCUUCGACUCCAGGGGUCAGUUUAUUGGAUGUUGACCCAGGAGCAUCAACAAACAGAACUGUCUACACGUUUGUUGGUUCACCAGAUGAUGUCGUGCAGGGAGCUCUGAAUGGUGCAAGGGUAGCAGCUGAUCUUAUUGAUAUGAGAGCACAUCAAGGUGAACACCCAAGACUAGGUGCUCUUGAUGUCUGUCCAUUUAUUCCUGUCAGUAAUGCAACAAUGGAUGACUGUGUACAGUGUGCUAAAAGCUUUGGUGAAAGAGCUGCAAAAGAGAUAGGAAUACCAGUUUAUCUUUAUGGUUAUGCAUCUGAACAAGAUUACAGAAAGUCAGUUCCACAAAUUAGAGUUGGUGAAUAUGAAGGACUAUCAAAAAGGAUUGUUACACCAGAAUGGGCACCCAAUUAUGGACCUGCCGAGUUUAAUGCAAAGUGGGGAGCAACAAUAGCUGGUGCCAGAAAGUUCUUAAUUGCUUACAAUAUCAACAUCCUUGGAACAAAAGAACAAGCUCAUAAGAUAGCACUGAACCUCAGGGAGGGAGGGAGAGGACCAGAUAAGCCAGGAAGAUUAAAGAACGUCCAAGGUAUGGGCUGGUGGUUGGUCGAAGAGAAUAUUGCACAGGUGUCUCUCAAUCUUCUGGACUAUGAAGAAACCCCAAUGCAUGUGGCAUUUGAAGAAGCAACUAAAGAUGCCAAGGAAUCAAAGCUUGGUGUAUGUGGAUCUCAAGUGGUGGGUCUUGUGCCUCUUGAUGCUAUACUUAGAGCUGCUGAUUACUACAUCAAGAAAGAGGAUUUGUUUAUUGUGGAACAGGAUCAAAAAAUUAGACUGGUAGUGGAGAGGCUUGGCUUGAGCUCCAUUACACCAUUUGACCCUAGAACACGUAUCAUUGAGUACAUGAUUGGGGAAAGUGCUGGGCCAUUGGUAUCAAUGUCAUUGAAAGAUUUUAUACUGAAUGUAGGUGCCAGAACCUCAGUACCAGGUGGAGGUUCAGCUGCAGCUGCUGUUGCUGCCAUUGGUGCAGCAUUAGGAACCAUGGUUGGGUUCAUGUCAUAUGGGAACAAGAAGUAUGAAUCCCUCGAUCCCUUGAUGAGAACGCUGAUACCACCACUCCGCCAGACCAUGUUGGACCUGAUUGAUAUGGUUGAUAAGGAUACUGAUGCUUUCAAUGACUUCUUGAUGGCCAAAAAGCUUCCAAACAAUACUCCUGAAGAAAAAGAAAUACGUAACCAGGCAACAGAGGAAGGUCUUAAAAAGGCUGUCAAUGUACCAAUGUCAGUGAUUGUUACUGCUAACAAAGUAUGGCCUCACUUGGUGGAACUUUCCAAGGUUAGCAACAUCACAACGAAGUCAGAUCUACAGUGGCGUAACCAGGGAUCUUGCAGGGGAGGUACACAGGCAAUGAUUUGCAGAGCCAAUAAAAAAAACAAAAACAGAACCAACAACAACAACAAAAUUAAAAAAACAAGGGAAUAAUGGGUGAGUGAUUCUUAAGAAUGCUACAAUAUGCAGAUGGAAAAUGGUCUUCAUUUAAUCAAAAGGCAUUUACAUGCAAUUUUAAAGCAAAAGGAGAUAGAUGAGCGGACCUUAAGCUUUUAUGGGGGUUCACGUGCACCUUGUGCUCCCCCCGGUUACGGCCUUGCUUUUUGAUAUGAAAUGCUUCCCACGAUACUUAGUGAGUUUGGUGAUGGAAUAUGAGUAAGUUGCAAACGUGUUCACAGGAUAAAAUAUCUUGUGCACAUCGUGGAUGUUGAUACUACUUCACCAGUUAUGGCGGCAAACAGCGCGCCAUCAUCGUCGGCGUUGUCGUUAUCUCUAGAACAUGAAAUACACCAACUGACGUUCUAGAGAAAACGACAACGCCGAGGACGCAGGCGCGCGCACAUGAAAAACCGUUCCCGUAAUGUUGUAUGCGUACCGCGACAAUCACAUUCCUAAGUUUCAUUCGAAACUCAACUGAAAUCGAAUGGAUUUUAAGUGAUGUUUAGUCUUUCAUCCAAGUUUCAGGACUUUGUAGAGUCAAAGUGCCGAAAAGGGAGUUUUAAUAUUAUUUAGAAUCUUUCUUUUUGAUUUUAUGGCACUNCGAGCAUCCAAGCGAGAAUAAAAUGGUUUGGUUAAGAGCUACUUUCGUAAAGCUUAAAAGCCUCGUGGGACUGGAUUUGUCGUGCCGUGACCGUGACGGUAGGAGCACGGAGUAUAGAGACAGGUGUCUGGGGUGCUUACUACAACGUGAAGAUUAAUUUACCUGACAUCAAAGACAUGGAUUUCCAGAACAAGACUUUAAAGGAAGCUGACGAAGCCGUUUCAUUUGCACAAGAGAA